CCUACGGGAGGCAGCAGUGAGGAAUAUUGGUCAAUGGGCGCAAGCCUGAACCAGCCAAGUAGCGUGCAGGAUGACGGCCCUACGGGUUGUAAACUGCUUUUAUACGGGAAUAACGCGCCUUACGUGUGGGGCUUUGCAUGUACCGUAUGAAUAAGGACCGGCUAAUUCCGUGCCAGCAGCCGCGGUAAUACGGAGGAUGCGGGCGUUAUCCGGAUUUAUUGGGUUUAAAGGGAGCGUAGGCCGCAUGUCAAGCGUGCUGUGAAAUGUCCGGGCUCAACCCGUGCCUUGCAGGGGAAACUGGCGUGCUUGAGUGCGCGGGAAGCAGGCGGAAUUCGUGGUGUAGCGGUGAAAUGCUUAGAUAUGACGAAGAACUCCGAUUGCGAAGGCAGCUUGCUGCAGCGGAACUGACGCUGAUGCUCGAAAGUGUGGGUAUCGAACAGGAUUAGAUACCCCAGUAGUC
rnacentral:rRNA from 1 species